rnacentral:rRNA from 1 species
GACGAACGCUGGCGGCGUGCCUAAUACAUGCAAGUCGAGCGGACUUGACAGAGCUUGCUAUGUUCAAGUUAGCGGCGGACGGGUGAGUAACACGUGGCAAACCUGCCCUGCAGAUUGGGAUAACUCCGGGAAACCGGGGCUAAUACCGAAUAACCUUGAAAUACUUAUGGUUUUCUCUUAUAAGGCGGCUUCGGCUGUCACUGCAGGAUGGGCCCGCGGGGCAUUAGCUAGUUGGUGAGGUAACGGCUCACCAAGGCAACGAUGCGUAGCCGACCUGAGAGGGUGAUCGGCCACACUGGGACUGAGACACGGCCCAGACUCCUACGGGAGGCAGCAGUAGGGAAUCUUCCGCAAUGGACGAAAGUCUGACGGAGCAACGCCGCGUGAGUGAAGAAGGUUUUCGGAUCGUAAAACUCUGUUGUUAGGGAAGAACAAGUAUCGGAGUAACUGCCGGUACCUUGACGGUACCUGACCAGAAAGCCACGGCUAACUACGUGCCAGCCGCCGCAGUAAUAC